rnacentral:rRNA from 1 species
UUAAGCGACUAAGCGUACACGGUGGAUGCCCUGGCAGUCAGAGGCGAUGAAGGACGUGCUAAUCUGCGAUAAGCGUCGGUAAGGUGAUAUGAACCGUUAUAACCGGCGAUUUCCGAAUGGGGAAACCCAGUGUGUUUCGACACACUAUCAUUAACUGAAUCCAUAGGUUAAUGAGGCGAACCGGGGGAACUGAAACAUCUAAGUACCCCGAGGAAAAGAAAUCAACCGAGAUUCCCCCAGUAGCGGCGAGCGAACGGGGAGCAGCCCAGAGCCUGAAUCAGUAUGUGUGUUAGUGGAAGCGUCUGGAAAGGCGCGCGAUACAGGGUGACAGCCCCGUACACAAAAAUGCACAUGCUGUGAGCUCGAUGAGUAGGGCGGGACACGUGGUAUCCUGUCUGAAUAUGGGGGGACCAUCCUCCAAGGCUAAAUACUCCUGACUGACCGAUAGUGAACCAGUACCGUGAGGGAAAGGCGAAAAGAACCCCGGCGAGGGGAGUGAAAAAGAACCUGAAACCGUGUACGUACAAGCAGUGGGAGCACAGAGCAAUCUGUGUGACUGCGUACCUUUUGUAUAAUGGGUCAGCGACUUAUAUUCUGUAGCAAGGUUAACCGAAUAGGGGAGCCGAAGGGAAACCGAGUCUUAACUGGGCGUUAAGUUGCAGGGUAUAGACCCGAAACCCGGUGAUCUAGCCAUGGGCAGGUUGAAGGUUGGGUAACACUAACUGGAGGACCGAACCGACUAAUGUUGAAAAAUUAGCGGAUGACUUGUGGCUGGGGGUGAAAGGCCAAUCAAACCGGGAGAUAGCUGGUUCUCCCCGAAAGCUAUUUAGGUAGCGCCUCGUGAAUUCAUCUCCGGGGGUAGAGCACUGUUUCGGCAAGGGGGUCAUCCCGACUUACCAACCCGAUGCAAACUGCGAAUACCGGAGAAUGUUAUCACGGGAGACACACGGCGGGUGCUAACGUCCGUCGUGAAGAGGGAAACAACCCAGACCGCCAGCUAAGGUCCCAAAGUCAUGGUUAAGUGGGAAACGAUGUGGGAAGGCCCAGACAGCCAGGAUGUUGGCUUAGAAGCAGCCAUCAUUUAAAGAAAGCGUAAUAGCUCACUGGUCGAGUCGGCCUGCGCGGAAGAUGUAACGGGGCUAAACCAUGCACCGAAGCUGCGGCAGCGACGCUGAUGCGUUGUUGGGUAGGGGAGCGUUCUGUAAGCCUGUGAAGGUGUGCUGUGAGGCAUGCUGGAGGUAUCAGAAGUGCGAAUGCUGACAUAAGUAACGAUAAAGCGGGUGAAAAGCCCGCUCGCCGGAAGACCAAGGGUUCCUGUCCAACGUUAAUCGGGGCAGGGUGAGUCGACCCCUAAGGCGAGGCCGAAAGGCGUAGUCGAUGGGAAACAGGUUAAUAUUCCUGUACUUGGUGUUACUGCGAAGGGGGGACGGAGAAGGCUAUGUUGGCCGGGCGACGGUUGUCCCGGUUUAAGCGUGUAGGCUGGUUUUCCAGGCAAAUCCGGAAAACUAAGGCUGAGGCGUGAUGACGAGGCACUACGGUGCUGAAGCAACAAAUGCCCUGCUUCCAGGAAAAGCCUCUAAGCAUCAGGUAACAUCAAAUCGUACCCCAAACCGACACAGGUGGUCAGGUAGAGAAUACCAAGGCGCUUGAGAGAACUCGGGUGAAGGAACUAGGCAAAAUGGUGCCGUAACUUCGGGAGAAGGCACGCUGAUAUGUAGGUGAAGUCCCUCGCGGAUGGAGCUGAAAUCAGUCGAAGAUACCAGCUGGCUGCAACUGUUUAUUAAAAACACAGCACUGUGCAAACACGAAAGUGGACGUAUACGGUGUGACGCCUGCCCGGUGCCGGAAGGUUAAUUGAUGGGGUCAGCGCAAGCGAAGCUCUUGAUCGAAGCCCCGGUAAACGGCGGCCGUAACUAUAACGGUCCUAAGGUAGCGAAAUUCCUUGUCGGGUAAGUUCCGACCUGCACGAAUGGCGUAAUGAUGGCCAGGCUGUCUCCACCCGAGACUCAGUGAAAUUGAACUCGCUGUGAAGAUGCAGUGUACCCGCGGCAAGACGGAAAGACCCCGUGAACCUUUACUAUAGCUUGACACUGAACAUUGAGCCUUGAUGUGUAGGAUAGGUGGGAGGCUUUGAAGUGUGGACGCCAGUCUGCAUGGAGCCGACCUUGAAAUACCACCCUUUAAUGUUUGAUGUUCUAACGUUGACCCGUAAUCCGGGUUGCGGACAGUGUCUGGUGGGUAGUUUGACUGGGGCGGUCUCCUCCUAAAGAGUAACGGAGGAGCACGAAGGUUGGCUAAUCCUGGUCGGACAUCAGGAGGUUAGUGCAAUGGCAUAAGCCAGCUUGACUGCGAGCGUGACGGCGCGAGCAGGUGCGAAAGCAGGUCAUAGUGAUCCGGUGGUUCUGAAUGGAAGGGCCAUCGCUCAACGGAUAAAAGGUACUCCGGGGAUAACAGGCUGAUACCGCCCAAGAGUUCAUAUCGACGGCGGUGUUUGGCACCUCGAUGUCGGCUCAUCACAUCCUGGGGCUGAAGUAGGUCCCAAGGGUAUGGCUGUUCGCCAUUUAAAGUGGUACGCGAGCUGGGUUUAGAACGUCGUGAGACAGUUCGGUCCCUAUCUGCCGUGGGCGCUGGAGAACUGAGGGGGGCUGCUCCUAGUACGAGAGGACCGGAGUGGACGCAUCACUGGUGUUCGGGUUGUCAUGCCAAUGGCACUGCCCGGUAGCUAAAUGCGGAAGAGAUAAGUGCUGAAAGCAUCUAAGCACGAAACUUGCCCCGAGAUGAGUUCUCCCUGACUCCUUGAGAGUCCUGAAGGAACGUUGAAGACGACGACGUUGAUAGGCCGGGUGUGUAAGCGCAGCGAUGCGUUGAGCUAACCGGUACUAAUGAACCGUGAGGCUUAACCUU